rfam:Picea glauca, whole genome shotgun sequence.
AUGUAAUAUAAUUCCUACAAUGUUAAUUUAUCAUAUCCCAUUAGAACUUCAUGAUUAAGCAUGCUUGGGGUAGAGUAUUACUAGGAUGGGUGACAUCUCGGGAAGUCCUAGUGUUUUACAUG